GUUUUACUGUAGGUAAUUUUGUCUUUUUAAUUAAUGGGAGCUGGCUUUUGUCAUUGGAACAUUCAUAGGCGGAUCCAGGGGAGGGCCCUUAGGUCAGUCAGUGGGCCCUCCCCUUAUGAAAAGUUCUGGAUCCGCCACUGACAUUGAUAUGUUUCUUUAUUCCUGGUCCGUUUAUUCGUUUGAAGUGUAAAAAAAAUAUAUUUCAGAUGAUACAUGUCGUCUGCACUUCUAUAAACAAUGAACGAAUAUUUCAAUCGAAAGGGCAAAUCAUGUUUCCUAGGUUAUAAGAUAU
rnacentral:lncRNA from 1 species